AGAGAGAGAGAGAGAGAGAGAGAGAGAGAGAGAGGUGUGAGGGGAGGGACGGGGCUGAAAAGGAAAAAGGAGCAGUCUUGGUGUGGAGAGAAGAGGAAAUAAGCCCGGAUCCAGAGGGAUUCUCAUUGUUCUGAUUUUGGAGCCCUCUACAGGCCAAACCUAAAAUCCAAAGGUCAGGAGGCUUUGGGGAAACAUCUGACUCCAACGCUGAUAAGACGUAGCGUGGUAAAACAUUACCUAAACCUUUGAGGAACUUGUUGACGCCUCUGUUCUCACCGCCUGGCAGAGAAUCGAGGCCCUGCCUCCUGAACUCUCUUUCCUGCACGAACCCGGCGAACAUCUGCGUCUCCAUGAAGACCUCCAGGAAUCUCCGCAGGCUCUUGGAGGACACGGCCUUGCGGAAAGCCUCGCGCUGGAAGGACGAGGGAGUCGGAGACGAGGAAGACGAGGCAGAGGAUUCUUCAUCGCGGUCGCUGCCGCCUAUAAAGAGUUUGUGGUCCCUCACCUCCUCCAGCGGCAGCUCUUUGAGACGGGCCAGGGAGCUGGAGAGCAGCCCGACUAUGAAGGGUGUAGGAGUACAGACGAUGUCCAUCAUGGACGGCGGCAGGACCGGGAUGUACGUGUGCUG